rnacentral:lncRNA from 1 species
CUCCUUACUGAAUAUCUGGCCCCAAGGCUCAGCUCUUGAGUGGCUGUGGAGCACCUCCCCUUUGGACGGUAAUAUCAUCACAAAUCCUGCUCUCCACAUGGAAAUCUUUGUCCACACACCAUCCCCUGCCCAUCCACAAACUCUCUAGUCUGUUUCGUGUAGGUCAGCCCUGCAAAGCAGGGGUCUCCAACUCCUGGGUCACAGACUGGUCCUGGUUCAUGGCCUGUUAGGAAUGGGGCUGCACAGUAGGAGGUGAGUGUGGGUGAGCAAGGGAAACUUCAUCUGUAUUUACAGCCACUCCCUACUGCUCACAUUACCACCUGAGCUCUGCCUCCCAACACAUCAGCAGCAGCAUUAAAUUCUCAUAAGAUCGCAAACCCUAUUGUGAUAGGCACAUGCAAGGGAUCUAGGUUGCAUGCUCCUUAUGAGAAUCUCAUGCCUGGUGAUCUGUCACUGUCUCCCAUCAUCCCUAGAUGGGACCAUCUAGUUGAAGGAAAACAAGCUCAGGGCUCCCACUGAUUCUACAUGAUGGUGAGUUGUAGAAUUAUUUCAUUAUAUAUUACAAUGUCAUAAUAAUAGAAAUAAAGUACACCUUAAAUGUAAUGCGCUUGAAUCAUCCCAAAACCAUCCCCCACUCCCCACUGCCGGUCUGUGAAAAAAUUGUCCUCCAUGAAACUGGUCCCUGGUGCCAAAAAGGUUGGGGACUGCUGCUGCAGGGCACUUUCCCAUCUGCUAGCUCCAAGCCUGGGCUCCUAGAGCCACACUGAGGCUCUGUAAAAUCACAAGUGCCACCUGACAGAUUCCUGUAAAAACGGGCCCAGCACGACAACAGUGCCAUCCAUGGAAGAGAUUUCAGCCUAAAGAGAAAAUGUUAAAUUUCUCUUUUCCUCAAAUUUCCUUAUAUCUAGCCCUGCAACCCUCUUUCCCAAGUUAUGCUGGAGCUCAACUUCAAACUUUCUGGGAGUCACACAGAAAAUGGUACAAUGCUUGUCUAGACUAAAAACCAUUCUCUGGGUAACUCUGUACUGAAGCAACAUCAUAAAAAUGUGAAUAUGUAGAAGUCAUUUUAAGACAUAUUUCUUUUCAUUAUAGCCUUCAGAAACAUAGUCACUUGAAAGCUUUUUGUGCCUCUUAAAAGGAUAAUCCUCCCCCCCAACCAUAAGUAAGGCACCUGAGUGUAACAAUGUAAGUGAUCCCUUACACAGGAAAAAUGGCUGAGACAUUUAUUGAUUCUCUACUUAGUCUCUAUUUCAUUAUAUUCAUAAAAUCUGUUGUAAUUUUUAAUAAAAUCUCAGACAGCUUAUGACUACAACUGACUACUUAGCAGUUAGUAAAUCAUUUCUUAUUUCUAAGGGUUGCUCAAUGUAACAGUCCAAUGGAAGCAUAACCAUGGUAAGCUGCAGUUCAGAUAAAGUCUAACUUGCUGGCUCUCCCAUCCCUGCUGACAGGCAAUGGAAUGCAGACGUUCUGUUUCUAAGAGCUGUGUCACAUCUGGUUCAGGUUGCUCGUGGUCCACAGUGGCCCACGUUCAUUACCAUCUAAUAGCCGCUUGGCCUUUGUCAGGCGCUGUCUCAAGUCAAGCCUGAGGCCUGACACCCACAUCUGCUGCACUUCUCUGAAUCUUUGAAUCUCUCCCCUCGUGACCUUCUCACUGGCUGCCACAGUGUCAAAUGCACAGUAAGUCAAGCAGCCAGUCAUUUGAAUUAAGAGUCACAGACAUCAGUGCUGACUGGGACCUUGGAGAUCACAGGGUAGAGCCGACUCCUGUGGCAAACAGGAUGGAUGAAGCCAUUUGUCCCAGGACAGCCCAGGAAGGUCUGACCUGGGGAAUCAUUGUGACAUCUGGGGGGUGGAAGUGCAGUCUCAGCCAGACAGGGUGAGGGCCAGCUCAGUCACAAACCAGAGCUCUAUUUUCCUCUCUUGCCUCAGUUUCCUCAUUUGCAAAAUGGAGAUAACAGGAGUACCCACCUCUCGGGAUGUUUGUGAAGAUUAAAUGAGUUUAUAUUUGUGACACCCUUAGAGCCCAGCUACCACUGUUUGUUAAACGAAUGAAUAAAAAGUAAAUAGAUUAAUAAAUAGCCCUUUUAAAUAUUAACAGGGAUUUUCAAUUUUUCUUUGUUAAAACUGAGGAAGUCUUUCUUUAAAUAAAAUCUCACUCAGAAGCCAUAUAUCUGUACUUUAAAAAUGUGUGCAUAUAUACAUAUAUAACGAAGAUCUUUACAAUGAUUAAAAUCAGAACUAUUAUAAAUACACACACAGCAUUUCAUCUGAGACUUCACUCUCCUUUGUCACACGAAGGCAAAGCUCCUCCUGUUAUGGUCACUGCUCAGGCAGCUCUGGACUGAGGCUGAGGAAACCCUGGACCACUGUCUACCAAGCCUGAGAGCUUUGAGGUCACAGGGCCAACGCCAGGAGUCAGGUCGCAGUGCAUGGGCAAUGGUCUGGUCAGCUCAGGAAUGUUUCGAGGGGAAUGACCACUUUGCCUGAUGCCCUUGAAUGGCUCUGGAUUUCCCAUAGAUGCCACAAGAAGGAUGUGGCUUCUGUUCUGGAAGCUGAUGGGCCAAUAUGGCUGCUUGGGAGGGUGAGAACUUCCCCCAUUUCUAAAAUCUCGCCAUGGAGGUCACAACUGACCACAGUGGGCAUCUGAGUAGAAUCUAGGAACAGCCCGUCACCCACAGUGACAGGACAGUUUCAUGAUCAGGCAAGUGGUCAUGUAGGUGUCUCAGGAAUGUCCUGGCAGGCUUCGAAAAAUGGGUCUGGGAUGUUGGGAGGAGUGGACUUUGAUCUCAGAAGCAGACAGCACAGCACCUUCAGGAAGCCAUAUAUUCCUUUUUUCUCAUCCUGUUAAGAGCAUCCUUCCAUCCUAAGAGGUGACAAUCCAUUUAUUCAAUGCCUGUUUGGAAGAUCAUUCAA